CAGUCGCCGCGGGAAUACGAAGGGUGCAAGCGUUACUCGGAAUUACCGGGCGUAAAGCGUGCGUAGGUGGUGGUUUAAGUCCGUUGUGAAAGCCCUGGGCUCAACCUGGGAAUUGCAGUGGAUACUGGAUCACUAGAGUGUGGUAGAGGAUAGUGGAAUUUCCGGUGUAGCAGUGAAAUGCGUAGAGAUCGGAAGGAACAUCUGUGGCGAAGGCGACUAUCUGGGCCAACACUGACACUGAGGCACGAAAGCGUGGGGAGCAAACAGGAUUAGAUACCCCUGUAGUCCCUGUCUCUUAUAC
rnacentral:rRNA from 1 species